GAAUUCACUAGUGAUUCAGGCCUAACACAUGCAAGUCGAACGGCAGCACGGGAGCAAUCCUGGUGGCGAGUGGCGAACGGGUGAGUAAUAUAUCGGAACGUGCCCAGUCGUGGGGGAUAACGCAGCGAAAGCUGUGCUAAUACCGCAUACGAUCUAUGGAUGAAAGCGGGGGAUCGCAAGACCUCGCGCGAUUGGAGCGGCCGAUAUCAGAUUAGCUAGUUGGUGGGGUAAAGGCCCACCAAGGCGACGAUCUGUAGCUGGUCUGAGAGGACGACCAGCCACACUGGAACUGAGACACGGUCCAGACUCCUACGGGAGGCAGCAGUGGGGAAUUUUGGACAAUGGGCGCAAGCCUGAUCCAGCAAUGCCGCGUGCAGGAUGAAGGCCUUCGGGUUGUAAACUGAUGUUGUACAGAACGAAACGGCCCUUUCUAAUACAAGGGGCUAAUGACGGUAC
rnacentral:rRNA from 1 species